rnacentral:rRNA from 1 species
UACAGAGGGGGCAAGCGUUGUUCGGAAUUAUUGGGCGUAAAGCGCACGUAGGCGGCUUUGUAAGUUAGAGGUGAAAGCCCAGGGCUCAACCCUGGAAUUGCCUUUGAGACUGCAUCGCUUGAAUCAUGGAGAGGUGAGUGGAAUUCCGAGUGUAGAGGUGAAAUUCGUAGAUAUUCGGAAGAACACCAGUGGCGAAGGCGACUCACUGGACAUGUAUUGACGCUGAGGUGCGAAAGCGUGGGGAGCAAACAGG